AUCUAGCUGACGAGUCCCAAGCGGGACAAAGCACGCGUCCUGGAU
rnacentral:hammerhead_ribozyme from 3 species